rnacentral:rRNA from 1 species
GAAACCCAGUGUGAUUCGUCACACUAUCAUUAACUGAAUCCAUAGGUUAAUGAGGCGAACCGGGGGAACUGAAACAUCUAAGUACCCCGAGGAAAAGAAAUCAACCGAGAUUCCCCCAGUAGCGGCGAGCGAACGGGGAGGAGCCCAGAGCCUGAAUCAGCAUGUGUGUUAGUGGAAGCGUCUGGAAAGGCGCGCGAUACAGGGUGACAGCCCCGUACACAAAAGCGCAUGUGCUGUGAGCUCGAUGAGUAGGGCGGGACACGUGGUAUCCUGUCUGAAUAUGGGGGGACCAUCCUCCAAGGCUAAAUACUCCUGACUGACCGAUAGUGAACCAGUACCGUGAGGGAAAGGCGAAAAGAACCCCGGCGAGGGGAGUGAAAAAGAACCUGAAACCGUGUACGUACAAGCAGUGGGAGCACCCUUCGGGGUGUGACUGCG